GGAGGCAUAGUUCAAUUGAUAGAGCAUCUGCCUAGCAAGCAUAAAACCCUGAGUUCAAACCCCAGUGCUGUCA
rnacentral:tRNA from 1 species